AAGAUCAGUGACAAACCAGAUAAAACUUCUCAGUGGUCUAAGACAGCUACAAUGAAGCCACAAAUGCAGUUCAUAGUUCCUGUAUUUCUAUAAUGCAUUAAUGAAUAACAGUAAUUAAAAAAAAAUGUAAUGUCAAGGUUUUGUGUUAAUUCCAGCUAUGUUGAGUAUUCUGUGAAUAAUUUAGAUUUUAGGUGCAUAUUCUUAAUUCUUUGCAAAACAACCAGAACUGUUUGCUAUUGAAAGGUUGGUAUGUAGUUUAAAUAAAUAAAAAUGAUAUUCUUGACAAAA